rnacentral:rRNA from 1 species
UGGGGAAUUUUGCGCAAUGGAGGCAACUCUGACGCAGCAACGCCGCGUGCGGGAUGAAGGCCCUCGGGUUGUAAACCGCUUUCAGCAGGGAAGACUUCGACUGUACCUGCAGAAGAAGCCCCGGCUAACUACGUGCCAGCAGCCGCGGUAAUACGUAGGGGGCGAGCGUUAUCCAGAUUCAUUGGGCGUAAAGCGCGCGUAGGCGGCUCGCCAAGCGGGAUCUCAAACCUGAGGGCUCAACCCCCGCAGCAGGAUCCCGGACUGGCGGGCUCGAGUUCGGUAGGGGAAGGCGGAACUCCCAGUGUAGCGGUGAAAUGCGCAGAUAUUGGGAGGAACACCGAUGGCGAAGGCAGCCUUCUGGGCCGUAACUGACGCUGAGGUGCGAAAGGCUAGGGGAGCGAACAGGAUUAGAUACCC